UUUCUUUUGUCUUGCAGGCCAUUCUUGUUUAAAUGGGUAUUCCAGUAGUUCUUCACCUCAUUAUCAGUUCGACCAGGAAGCCGACCAGCAAUCAAUGACCAUCUGAUGGAAGAAGUAACACAGUUGAAAUUAUCCAAACAUUCAGCAAGUUGGUGACAAUACCACUUACAGGGUGUAAUGAUGGUUACCAUGAUUGGAUUCUUUCUAUAUAUGACAGCAAAAUGGGCACCCAGCGCUGUCAUAUAUUACUCGCAGAAUGUUGCAAUGUUGGGUCAUGCAUGCAUUAUCAUUACAAUCUUUGCGCUGGUGGAUUGACGUGAGGGCCCUGGUUUGCUAAAAGCGUAUCUGCCUGCUUCUGAAUCAAGACAGGUACUAGAGCUAUUCUACCUGGAGGCUUAAGUAUUUAACAAGCUUUCUUGAGCGAGGCACUCAGAGAUAAAAAAUGGCAGCUUUUGCUGGAGGAAGCAAGCAGCCAAUUGGGUCAUCGUCUUGAGGCUGCACCACAGGCUACACCGUGUUGUCCCUCAUCACUGUUAUUUUUUUUUUUCUCCUUUUGCACCUACCUGCCUGCUUCUUCUCCAUAUCAGGUACACCCACACUCCAUUCCCACUUAGAAUUAGCAUUUCCAAAUUAUCGGUUAACAAGGGCUGGCUUGUUUUUUAUUUGUGGUUUGUUGUUUUUUGUGGUUUUGAAGGGGACUUUGAUAACUAUUUCUUCUUUAUGGAUUUUUAGGAAGUAAACUACAAAUUUGUUUAAAAAAUCUAAACUUCAAAAAGUGGUGAAUAGGUUUUUCAAUUUUCAAUUUUGUGUCUAAAAGGUAGUUGAACUUUAAAAUGUCUAAUAGUUUCAUGAACUUUUUUAUCUUUUUCUUUAAAGAGGGGUGAAAGGGGUUUUGAUAACUAUUUCGUGUUUAUGGGUUUUUUUUAGGAGUAAACUACAAAUUUACUUCGGGAACUUUUGAACUUUUUAAGUAUUCUGUUAAAGGAUCUAAACUUUAAAAAGUGUCUAAUAGAUUUUUGAAGAGCAAAUUGAAAAAAUUAUUCCUAAAGUAUGGUGGUAGUUGCAAUUAUACUUUUAAACUUUCAAAUCUAAAAAUUGAGCCCUCAAACUUAUACAAUUGUUAAAAUUUGACCCUCAAACUUGUAUAAUUGUAUAAGUUUUAGGGUUCAAUUUUUUUCAUUUGUGGGUUCAAUUUCUAUGAUUAUUGUAAGAUUGAGGGUUCAGUUUUAACAUUUUUAGAAAUUUAGAGGCCCAAUUUUUACCUUUCAAAGUUUAAAAGUGCAAUUAUAACUACCACCAUACUAUAAGUGUUGUUUUUGCAAUUUGUCUGAUUUUUUUAAUUUUCAAUUUUGUGUCUAAAAGGUCAUUGAAUAAAAAUAUCUAAUAGAUCAUUAAACUUUAAAUUUUACGUUUUUUUUUUUUUUUUUUUUGUAGGAAUGGUUAAAAAAUGAACUUUUUAAAUUUGUCUGAAGGGUUCUGAACUAUUGAUGGUAGUUCAUGCCUUUGUUGUUUGAACUUUGAUAUUUUAGACCCUUUCAUGAGUAAAAAAUAUCCAUUAAAAACUGUUCAUUUUGAACAUUUUUUUUAAUAACAAAAUCACAGUGAUGAGGGGGCAGCACUGUGAUGGGUUAAAGUGUUUUUUUUUAUUCUGUUCUGUAAGCGGGGUGAAAGGAUUUUGAGAACUGUUUUUUGUUUUUGUUUUAAUAAUUCGUUCCCUUUCUCAAAAAAUGGGGAAAAUAUCCUAUUGGUCAUUGAGUUUUUGGUAUAGUUUAUAUCUAGACUCUAGUUUUUAAAUAGUUUUCACUAUUUUUUCCUCUAUUAAAACUAAAAUUACUUAUAGAUUUUCACGUCAUAACUUUGUAAAUUAAUUAACUGAAAGUUGAUUCUGAAGACCAAAUGUGGAGUAUUAAUAAGAAUUUGGAGGUAAAAGUGUAAAAUAUUGAAAUUCAAGUAUAAAAUGAAAACUAAGCUCAAAAUUCAAUGGUUAAAAUGUUACAUUUUGAAAUUUAUGGACCAAAUAGAACUUAUUCCAUGACUCAUUGGUUAAAGUAAUAUUUUGAAAUUGAAAUACCAAAUGGGACUAGGUUUGGAACUUACAACCAAAAUGUAUUUUUUUCAAAAUAAAUAAAUAAAUAAAUAAAAUUCUAUGAUAUUUUAGGCAAAAGCUCAAUUGGUUAAGUCAUGACCACGAAUCAAGUUUGAACUUUUUUCAUUCCUAUAUAUUGUUGGAAUCUAGAAAAAUAAUGAAGCACAAAUGAUCAAAGUUUGAGUAUACAAUUCAAACUAGUUAAGACAUGAUUGAUUAAGAGGUCAAAAGUUCAAAUUCUUCCGUAUCUCCUACCACUACGAUGCAAAAUACUAAUUGGCAUUUGAGGUUUCAUAUUUUCUUAAAAUGAUCGAUCCUUCUGUUUAAGUACAUUUUACCAGCAAAAAGAUAUGUUUUAUAAAUAAUAAUAUUACUAAUAAUAAAAGCUAGAAGAGGUAAAAGGAGCAAAUACUUAUUUUGGAUUGCAAAAUAAAAAUAAAAAAUAAAAAAUAUUUUAAAAAAGAGUAUAAUGUGACAAAAUUGUGAUUUGACCAGAAAUUUUAUUGAUGGGGUUUUUAUCAUCGAAGGGGUUGUUAAAGAAGGAAAAUUCUAAAAAAUAAAGGUAAGAAGUGGAGCUUAAACUUAUUAACCGCUAGGUUAGCUAUUGGUUUUAGUACUUGAACCUCCCUCUUGGCUUAUAUUAAAUCCGUCGGUGGGAACAAUUAGAUGGUGUUAAGAAAUCGACAAUCAAAGAAAGCGUAGUUUUAGUUAUGUCUAGGAGAAUUAGAGAGGUUAUAUAGUACGUUUUAACAAAUUGUUUCAAGCACGACUUUGUAUUUGGUUGUUUGCUCUAGAUUCAAGUCAUUCCAACCCUUGAAUUUUAUCAAAAUGCAUAACAAUAGAUUCCCAUUCUUUAAAAAUCUCACCUUUUCAUAUUCAUACUCAAUACCAUACGUUCACUUAUAUUUAGUACAUCGACCUCAAUCCUUGUCUCACAUUGUUUUUUUCCCUUUUCUUAUCUCUCUCCCCAGUCCCCUUCUAUCAUAUGUUUGUCCUUUUCUUACACACGUGCACACACAUUAUAUAACUUAUUUUCCCUCUAUUAUUUUAUAUUAGGAAUAUUAACAUAAGUUUAGGCUUUAGAAACAGUUUAAUAUAGAAAAACUGAUUAAUUAUUUGAUAGUGAUCUGAUUUUCUACCUUUAAGCCUUUUAUUAGGUUUCAGAAAUAAUGUGCUAUAAAUAAUAAAAUAGGAAUUUGAUGGUCGGAUUACACAGAGCGUUGUUCAAUAAUUAUCUUUCUCCAAAAAAAAAAAAAAAUGUUGUUCAAUUAUAACUCUAAUUUUCUUUUUCUGCCAUGGGAUAGCUACCUAUUCUUUUCCCACUAUCUUUUGUCCCUCCCUUUGCCCAACCGUAUCCUAUGUUCCAUUCCAAUAGUUAUAUUGAGUCAAAGAAAUAGUGUUUGUUGGGAACUUGGGAAACGAUUCCUUCUUGCCUUGGAGGGAAACUGCAUUGAUUCCAUAAUAUAAAUCACUGAAGAAAAAACAAAUCAAUGUUUUAAACAAAAGUUUUGAUUGCAAAAAAUUAAAUUAAGUUGUUAGAAAGUCGAUUCAAAUAGACCUUUAAUUUGUUCGAGUCGGAUUGAAUAAAAAUGAUAAAAAAUUGUUAUAACUAUUUGGGUUCUCUUUGUACUUAUAUUUCGCAAAUUUCGAAUACCAAUCUUUAAUUUGUGACUCGGAUUGAAUAAAAAUGACAAAAAAACAUAAUAACAAUUUAGGUUCCCUUUGUAAUAUUUCGUAAAUUUUGAAUAUCAAUCUUAUAAUUUUGUUUUAU